AUUGAACGCUGGCGGCAGGCCUAACACAUGCAAGUCGAGCGGAUGAAGGGAGCUUGCUCCUGGAUUCAGCGGCGGACGGGUGAGUAAUGCCUAGGAAUCUGCCUGGUAGUGGGGGAUAACGUCUGGAAACGGGCGCUAAUACUGCAUACGUCCUGAGGGAGAAAGUGGGGGAUCUUCGGACCUCACGCUAUCAGAUGAGUCUAGGUCGGAUUAGCUAGUUGGUGGGGUAAAGGCCUACCAAGGCGACGAUCCGUAACUGGUCUGAGAGGAUGAUCAGUCACACGGGAACUGCGCCGCGGUCCAGACUCCUACGGGAGGCAGCAGUUGGGAAUAUUUGACAAUGGGCGAAAGCCUGAUCCAGCCAGGCCGCGUGUGUGAAGAAGGUCUUCGGAUCGUAAAGCAGUUUAAGUUGGGAGAAAGGGCAGUAAGUUAAUACCUUGCUGUUUUGACGUUAACAACAGAAUAAGCACCGGCUAACUUCGUG
rnacentral:rRNA from 1 species